CUGCAUUUUAAAAAUAUUUUUGUUUGGUUGAAGUCCUUGUUGACAUAUAUUUAUCCAUUUAGGUUUCCAAUGAAGUGCUAGAAUCUGGUGAAGAGACAUACUUCCCUGCACUUCAUGUUAGUUUGGAUAAUCCUUCUGUAGUGAAUGGCAGUGCUGCUCCAAAGUCACGCAUUCCUCAAAUGGUUGCUCAAACACUGGGUUUUGGCCAAAACCUGCUGCUGCUGGUGAUAGUAAUUGCACCCCCCAACCAAAAAAAAAUAAAAAAUGGAGUAAAUUCUUGAGUUUUUAUUUAUUUAUUUAUGGGUACCUAGAAUUAUAGUUCAACAGUAAUAAUAAUAUACAUUCACAAAAAGAUCGUACACAAGCUGUAUUGAGAUUUAUCAUUUUUAAAUACUGUGCUCAUUUUUGACCUCCUAA